rnacentral:rRNA from 1 species
GACGAACGCUGGCGGCGUGCCUAAUACAUGCAAGUAGAACGCUGAAGGAGGAGCUUGCUCUUCUGGAUGAGUUGCGAACGGGUGAGUAACGCGUGGGUAACCUGCCUGGUAGCGGGGGAUAACUAUUGGAAACGAUAGCUAAUACCGCAUAACAGUAGAUGUUGCAUGACAUUUGCUUAAAAGGUGCAAUUGCAUCACUACCAGAUGGACCUGCGUUGUAUUAGCUAGUUGGUGGGGUAACGGCUCACCAAGGCGACGAUACAUAGCCGACCUGAGAGGGUGAUCGGCCACACUGGGACUGAGACACGGCCCAGACUCCUACGGGAGGCAGCAGUAGGGAAUCUUCGGCAAUGGACGGAAGUCUGACCGAGCAACGCCGCGUGAGUGAAGAAGGUUUUCGGAUCGUAAAGCUCUGUUGUAAGAGAAGAACGAGUGUGAGAGUGGAAAGUUCACACUGUGACGGUAUCUUACCAGAAAGGGACGGCUAACUACGUG